AGCGAGGCUAGAGUCACACUUUGACAUUGCAUCGUUGUCCUGGUUGUGCUAGAGUGCUCGCAGAGAAAAUAUCCCUGCUUAUUCAUUGGCUGUUGGCUCCAGUGGCUCGGCCAAUCACCAGCUUGGAUACAUUA
ensembl:snoRNA